rnacentral:lncRNA from 1 species
ACGCUUCUGCCCUUGUGCAUUUCUCACAUGACCAUCUCCAUCUCUGAGAGUACCCUCAACAUCUUGAAUCAGUAUCACUGGUUGUGCCAUUGCUGCCUUUUUCUUAACUUUUCGAAUUCCUCUUUUUAAACCCGCUAGUUCGGAAUUGUUGAGAUCAACUAACUCUUUGUUCUGCUGGCUUCUGGUAUUAGGUAUAAACCUGAAACACCAAAAAUAAAAGAGAAAACAAAAGCGUAAAUAACAAAAUAAAAUAAAAAAACUUAGACUAAACUUUUAACCUUAACCACGAACUGGGCUUAAUUGCAAAUAAGGGAAACUUCUGGGCCGAAUCUACAAAUCUUCUGAACUUCAAUUAAGCGUGAAAUUC